GUGGAAAAGUCAUUGGCCACCAAAAAUGACUUCUAUGAAAGCAGUAUUUUACAUUGGGAUUCCACCAAGAAAGAAUCCAUAUAAAACAUUGCAGCAGUCUUGAAAACCAGCAACUGUAGAAACAUGGUGGCUAUGAAAACCAGUGGUCUUCCAGCUGUUUGAGAAAGAAGAAGAGCUGUGCUUGGGGGAAGCUAACGCUGACUCACGUCUGGUCUGACAUCUCUAUUGAGCAUGAUGGCAUCCCCUUACCUGCCUGACAAUCACCAGUGCCGUUCCUGACGUGGGAGUGAGUGGAGAGAAAAUGCCUACCAUCCCCUCUGGUGUCCAACACAGAGGGGAGAACAAGUCCCUGGCCAAAGAGGAGCCACCAGGAGAGUCAUCAUGAACUGUUGAGGCAAUCCACUGGCUUGAGAGCUUCCUGGACAAGGAGCCAAAGAGAAGCAGCCGUGGUUGCUUUCCCAAGCAGAUGUGACACAAUGAUUUGUGACAAUACAGUAUUGUCCCCACUAGAAACAAUGGAAAAAACCAUGCCCUUCAAGGCCAAACAAGGGCAAUGCAUAAGCAUGCAACCAGGCAGACGGAAUCAGAAGCCUGCCAUGAGCUUCUCUGAGCCCCCAAACUGAGAUGAUUCAUAUCUAUUCUUGUCUUCAUCUCCAGCGCUUCCCCCUUGAGGGCUCCCCUUCAUCGCAUUAAUUCUACUUGCUCUAAGAGGGGCGUAAUCUCUCAGAAUUUUAUAAUUGGAAAUACCUUUGAGAUCACAAAGGCUCAUACUCUCAUUUUAAAGAUAAGGAAACUGAGGCUAAGGAAGAUGAAGGAAAUUGUUUGAGUCCAGACAGGUCAGCCAAGGCUAAGCCCGCGUCAGCACCAGGAGCUAAAGAAAGCUCGGGAAGAUCAUUUCUGUGAUGCUAAGUGAUCACACAGACAGGGCUCAAGCUGAGUAAGAGCUGGGGGACUGGGUAUUUCAUUUCUUCUUCUUGGCCUCCACCGUGAAUCACUUGUGAGCAGGAAUAAUUGUUCAGCCUCCCUUUUCUACCUUCUUUAGCAUUCAGAUUUACCACAUGAAGGUCCCCACCUGAAAGCCAGGGGAAGGGAAGUCUUUAGAAGACACAGCAAAUGGCAACAAUGACUAUGGCCUAGUAGGGGGUCUCAGGGAUGGGAAGGAUCUGCCAAACUACUUGCAGAUUGCAUUCGUUUGUUAAAGGAGCUGAGUCAGAUUUGUCACCCCUAUUUCACAAAUGAAGAAACUGAGUUCCAGAGAGGUUAGGAAACCAGCCCAGAGUGAUAGAGACAGGAUUUGAUGCUGGGUCCAGCUGAUUUCAAAGUCAGUGCUACACUAGCCUGGGAAGAACCAGGUGCUAAAGCUAUGCACCCAUGCUCGGGACUGAGCUCAGUAACAGAGCCAGGCUUCGCUCCUGCCCUCUUCCAUACCAAGCAUGACAAGCAUGCUCCAAGCCAAAAACCCAACCGAGGCCAAGAAGUGGAAUAAGAAUUGGAUAAAAUGCCUCAAUUUCCACUCCCACACACCAAUUAUCACCAGCAGCCUAAAUGACAGAGGACACGGGGAAAGGGGAAGGAACAGGACCAUGCAGGUAUUUGCUUCCCUUAUCCUAUGAAGCAGAAGCUCAUACAGCACAAGGCACGAGGAUAAGAGCGAUGCCAAACCCCUAAGUCCUGGGUCACGGGAGCAGCUUUGCUAUGUGCCAGGCGAUGUGCUCUGUUUAACAAAGGGACGCAUUUCAUUUUUGAUUCCCAAAUCUGUCUGCAAAGACCCAAAAUAUUGUGCAUCAUGCAGUACUGAAGGUGUAUCUGUUUCUAAA